rnacentral:lncRNA from 1 species
AAAACCCACAUGGUAACUCACAAUUGUCUGUCACUCCAAUUCCAUGGGAUCUAACACCUAUGGCCUCGGGCACCAGGUACACAUGUGGUACACAUGCAUACACGUAGACAACACUCAUACACAUAAAACAAUAAGUAAAUCUUCUAAGAAAUACAUAUGUGUGUGUGUGUGUAGGGGAGGGAAGUGAAGAAGGGGCUAGAUAUGAUGGCAUAGGCUUGUAAUCCUAGCCCUGAGAAAUGGAGACAGGGGUGCAGCCUGAGCUGCAUAGAGAGAGAGCCUCUCUGAGAAAAACGGUCAGUUAACGGAAGGAGGAAUGCAUAGAGAAAAUCAAAAGCAACUCAAGAAAAGUUGCAUACAUAAGUAUAACCACAUAUGAACAUGUACCUUUUUUUUUUUUUGAAUGCUUGGAGAAAAAAUGGUAAACACAGAACAGCACUGCCAAUAGGCCUGUGUGUGUCUGUGGUGAAAGUAUGGAUAUUUGUUUGCUUUCCAAGCUCUGUAUCUCACGAUCUUGGCUGAGUUGGGGGUGGGUCAGGAAAGAAUCUUUAAACAUUAAAGUGCAAAUGCCUGCCUAUGUUAAACUCCUUGCAGGUGCAGGUGAUUUCUUGCACAGAGGUUGCCUCCCAAGUGAGGAUUUGUUGAACCUCUUACGGACAACAGAAUGCCUGGUCAGCACACACCCACUACCUGUUACCCUAGGAUUGUUUUAGUGGAAUAAGUUUGGUUUGGGGGCCAUGCUGGGAAUAAAAACCAAAGUUUUUAUGCAUCUGAGCACAUUCUGUUAUCACUGAGCUACAUCCCCAUCCCUGAUCAUAUUUUAAAUAUCUAGGACAAAGGGCGCCUAGAAUGUAUAUAACUCUAGAUUCUUUUCCUAGCAGUGCUCGCACACGCACAUGCGCGCGCGCACACACACACACACACACACACACACACACACACACGCACAUGCACAAUGCUUUUUAAAAGGCAAUAUUAUGAUUUUUGGAAAAAAACCUUUGUAAUGAAAAUGCAUGCUAUGUGAUAGUAUGUUAGUCCACACUUAGGAUCUCAGUACAGGCAGAGGAGUCUGUGAGACUGGAGUAGAUACUGAGCUCCUGGCCAGUCUGGGUUAUGUAUGAUGAAAUUAUAUUUCAAAAAUAACAAAAAGAAGUGAGCAGCUAGAUAUGGUGAUGCGUGAGGAGGCAGAGGUAGGAGGGUCUCUGUGAGUUCCAAGACAGCCAGGGCUACAUAGAGACCCUGUCUCAAAAACGAAAGAUUUAAAGACAAAUGUGCACUGGGUUAGGUCAUACAUUUGUAGACAUCUGCUUUUUCUCACCCCCAAAUCUGUCUUAUUUGGAAAACUAUUUUCAUAUUUUACCUUUCAAGAAUCUUAGUUUUGUCCCAGAAAUUCCCAUGAAAUGUAUCAUAAGAUCAAACCACUGGUAAUCCUUAGUAACUGUAGUACUACUAGGGCCUUAUACUUUUAUAUAAAACAUAUUAAGUCACAAAACUGUUUCAAUGUAUUUUUACACGAGUAUAUACAGACAGUCAUGUUUUUAAAUCAAUAAAAAGUGAGUAUUUGCAGAACUUAAAAUUAAA